rnacentral:lncRNA from 1 species
CUAAUCUGAAUCUUAAUAAUAAAACUCUAGCAUGGAUAUGAUGAAUAGUUGCUCUGCCUAAUUUGCAAAUUUGAAGUUCUCUCUCAAGUUUAGACAUAACUGUUAUAAUUUAAAGCUUGCUCUAGAUCUAAACUUGUGGGAUGAAAACUUGAUCUGAAAUCUAAGUUGUUAACGGAUAUGAUAUGGGAAGGUUGAGCUACUGUUUAUCUGUUCCUAGAGAUGCUAGAAUUCUGGAGAAUUUUAUCUUUCAAAAAUCUUUAAAAUAUUGCAUGAUGAGUUCCUGUAUGAAGAGAGUUUAAAUUCCUACCACAGCCAUAUAUACAUGCUUGCUAGACUUUGAGCCACACAUUUAUUAUUUACUGCUUAUGAGCAUUGAGUGUGGUCAAGCUGUGUAGACCCUUAGGAGCUUGUCAUGUGGUUAAAUCAAGAUUCACUUGCACGUUCACUCAUAUAUGCUACUUCUACUCUGGAAGUACCAUCCACAUAUAUCCAUCCAUGUCCAUCUCCAGAACCACCCUAAAAUAUUCUACUCCUAAUCCGGGAGAGAAUAACCAAAAAUAUUUCUGUUUUCCCUUGUGAAAUAAAUGCUCAAGUUAUCUUGCUACUACCACUUGCUAUAUUAUCUCAAUAGAUGAGUGCUCUGAAAAAAAAGAAAAGAGAAGAAAAGAAAAAAAAUAAUAAAUAAACGAGGGAAUAAAAAGGGGCAAGUGCCCGGAACCUCGAAAGAAAGAAAAAGUGAGACGAGAGGUAAAAAUGGACAAGUAUCCGACAGUAGAAUUAGGGGUACAAGAUACCCACCUGAGAGGAAAGAAAAAGAAGAGCAUCUCAUUCUCCUCAUAAAGUUUCAAAAAGCAAGGAAGGUAUGUAUCUCCUCAAAAGAGCAAAAGUAGAAUUAGACUUUCACCAUUGUUAUCACCAUCAUCACCAUACACCAUUCAUUCGCCACACAUGCACAUCUUGAUUUUGCUUAUUGAUUUGUUUCUUUGGAUCCAUGGUUUGACUAUACAAUAAAUGUCUUGUAAGUAUGUAUACUUUAUCUCCCACCUAUGAGCUCUAGAUAUUAAAGCCUUAUUAGAGUAGGAUGAGAGAGAAGGCAAUGUCACUAUGCCUUAUACCACAAAUACCACAUAUCUUGAGAGAAGGCAUAUACCAUCACUGCCUUGGUAAGGAUCCAGAAAUACCACAAAAGAGAGAAUUGAGAGAGUCAUACAAGGAAUCUCUGAGUUUUAUUUGAAAAUCUGCAAAAACUCCACAGCUAUAGCUAAUCAAGAAUAAGAGACAUGGCACUUGGCUAGACUGUUCUAUCUUUUAACUACUCAAGACAGAAGUGACGGUUACAAGUCCCAUGGUGAAAGGUAAAGUAAGUAAGUUUUAGUUCUUGACAGUUUACUCUAAUUUAGAGAUGAGAUCUUAUUUAAAAGCAUGUGUACCGUCAAAUUUUUAAGAUAUUGCAACAACUUCUGAUCCACUGCUGAGUCUAUCCUUGCUCAGGGACGAGCAAGAGGUAAGCUUGGGGGUGUUUGUUGACGGUCCUUAAGUAUCAAAUUUAAUUAUCAAAUAAACAAAGAAAAGGAUCCAAAUGAAAUCAACAUCUAGACUUAGGGUUUUAUCUGACAGAAUUCCACGAGUUUUGGUGUUUGUCUAUUUCUGCAGGGGGUUAUCAGGAAAUACGGAAGAAAGUCCCACACGUCGGGAUUACAUAGAGAUAUUAACGUGCCGCGCAAUUGUCUUACAUCUAGAAGACUCCAGAAGCC